CCCAAUUCAUCAACUCAGAAAUUAGGGUUCAUCUGUUCUUCAUCUUCUUCUUGUUCUCCUCUGUUGUUUUUCUUCUUCUUCUCCUAUGUUGUUCUUCUUUUUCUUCUCCAAUAUCUACUACUUAAAAAAGCUGAAUUCCAAAUUUCUGUUCAUAAGAGCCUUUUUUUUUUUACCGUGUGGUUGCUUUUGGGCCUAUUGCAUUGUUGGGCUUAGUUGCAAGCCAGAGGAGGACUGCUGACCUAGGUAUAGCACACUCGGAAAAUAUCAUCGAAACCCCGCGAUUGCUGGCAGUCGUCGCCCACAUUUCGUCACUAUGAUGUUCUGUUUCGCGCGUCCACAUGCCUAUCACUUCAACCGUGUACGUUGGCCAGCUGGUUGUAUGUUCAAUCGUCUAUGCCUCAACCCUACGGAGCUCAAAUACUGUUCAUUCUCUCGCAGCCUCUUCCAUGAACAGAUGUGGAGCAUGCUUUACAGUGUCAAAGGAAAUGAAUCUAAGAGCAUAAUUGUUAAGUCAACUAGAAGCAAGAAGGAAGGCAGAGUCAUCAAGCAACUACAAAAGUCAAUUCCUUGCCAACAUGAGAUGAUCACGGCCAACUUGUCAAAGAUUUUGUUAUGAACUUGUGUGCCACAUUGCCAACCCUUGCUUAUUUAAAGCGGAGUAGAACUCUGUUCUUGCUAUAUUUGUAACUCCAAACUUCUAUUUUCAUUGUUUUAUGCUAUGACUCAUGUGGUUUAUAAACCGCGUCUUCAUUAAUAAUAAGUUUGUGAUGGUGAUUUUGGCCAAGCAUUUGUUGUUGUUGCUAGAGGGGGAAUGGAGACCCUCAGACUUGCUUGGCAGCGUGUGUAUAUGACCAGAGCUUCUGCAUAAAUAGAUGCUCUUAAAAGUUUUAUAGAAGGGUACCAAGAGGGUGUUCAGCAAGUAAUGGAGAAGAAAGAAUAUUCCAAAACUCAAGGACAUGUUAGAUUGUUAGUAUACCAAAAAGAGUCAACUUGAACUUGCUUGUGUGAGGCAGUGUUAUACCUUCCAUUUAGACUCAAGCAUGCAACUUUGCAUAAAUUAGUGCUAAUCCCCUCGAACUAAAGGGUGUUAAUGUACAUUUCACUGAACAGAUAUAGUCGAAUAUUCCAAAAUGGUGUACUUGGGCUACUAAACAUCCAAUGGUAGUACUGAAUUUUGUUUGUGCAAUUAAUUUUUUACUUAGUUUUAAAUCUUUUGUGCUUAUCAGUGAUAUGUUUGUUCAGCAAAUGGUAGCAUUAGCACAUGUGAUGACAUGCUUCUUUAAUAAAUAUAGCAAAGUGCAUAUAAUAUAUUUGGAUUUACCCCCUAAAGGUGCAUAGUUCCGUAUAUUUCUUUGAUGAAAGGUCGCAAUUAUAUGUUUCUCUUAGAGAUACAUAAAUGCACCUGCACAAAGAUAAUCAGGUGUGCUUUGUAUAUGAUUCUUUCUGGAUCAGGCUGGAUUGGCUAAUGCUAAUUACUGUAGGUUGUGUUAUCAUUUCUAUAUUGGCUUUUCCUUAUGAAGCUUGCAUUUAUAGUCCAUUCUAAAUUAUUGGGGAUUAUUUCUUACUAUUUUAGGUAUGAACAAUUACUUCAAAACUGUUUUUAGAUAGGUUCAUAUGUAAUAUAAUAUUAUGGGUGAAGAUUUUAUUUAUCAUUCUGGCCUGACAGCUAUGUUGCUGGGAAUCUCUUGAAACAUGAGUUUUGGAUUACUGGUACUAUGACAAUGAAGGCAUAAUCUACCCUAUGACAAAUAUAUUUUGCUAUAAUGCAAUGGGAAUUGAUUUGACAGGAUGAACAUGAUAGGCCUUCCAUUUGAAAGGAUGCAUGGAAGAGUCUUGCUUUGUGAUUAGUUUUAUUUUUAGCUAUACCUAUGCUGAAUACUGCUGCCUUGGAUUGGCUUUGGAUUGCAUAAAAUCUGGAUGAUGCUAUCAAAUUCAAGCAAAUAGGUUGACAGGCGAGUUUGGCGUUUAAGUGCAGAUAAGGAGAUAUUUCUCCCCCUCUUGUCUCAUUCACAAUUUCACAACCUUCAAAUUUAGGUAAGUUGUAUUAUUACUUUGGUCCUCUUAUUGAAGAUAGAAUUUUCCUUUAUAAGGAGGAUCGUGUUGCAUAAUAUUUCAUGAUCCGAAAGGAACUAAUAUUAGCUACUAUUAUAACUUUGGGAUUAUAGAAUUCAUGAUCUGAUGAUCAAAUCUUAGCUACUAUUACAACUUUGUGAUAAUAGAUUAAGCCAAAACUAUGUAUGUAGUUUUGAUUAUUAGGAUAAGCUUUGAUGUAUUUACUACUUACUAGCAAGUAAACAUAAUAUAAAAUUAUGUUCUGCCUAUUAGAGGGUUCACAUGGCAAAAUUACAUUGAUUUUGCUACCAAAUUAAUUUAUAAAAUUUCAUAACUGAUAGUUUAAAAUAUCUAUUUUUUUUAGUUUAUAUUAUUACAAUUAAAAUAUCUUUUACCAGUUUUAUUCUUCCACCAAAUAUCAUUAAUUUUUUAACAAUGCCCAUAAAUUAUUAAUUUUGAAGUUAAUGCACUAGCACGCAUGCUUCCAUCCAAACUAAGGCCAUAUACUCUUCCCUUGGCAUUUCUUCCUCUAGCUGCUAAUUCAAAUUUUGUAAUGUAAAAUUAUAGGCUCUUUUGCACUUUUGGUCCCACAACUCUGGCUAUUAUGCGAAAACCAUCCCCCAACUAAAGAAUUAGCAAAAAACAUCCCUGAAGUUUACAUCCGGUUGCACUUUUGGUUUUCCAUAUAGAAUUUAACAUUUUGAUGAAUGUGGUCUUCUUGAAUGAUAUUCUAUUUAAAAAUAAUAAUUUGUGUUAAAUAAAAAAUUAAUAAUUGCACUUUGGUUAGGGGAGGAAAAUAAUAAAUGAAGAGUUAUGAGUUGGGAAAAAAUUAUUUAGGGGUUACAAAAUAAAUAUAAGUAACUUUUAAUUAUUUUGUUUUAAAAUUACAAGUUUUUUUCUUAUUUUUUAAUUAAAUUUUAAUGGAAUAUUCCCUUAAAUUUUGGACGGAAUUGGACGGUAGACCACUUUUGCAACCGGGUGUAAAUUUCAUGGAUGUUUUUUGCUAAUACUUUAAUUGGGGGACAGUUUUCGCAGAAUGAGCAUAGUUGGGGGACCAAAAGUGCAAAAUUGCCAAAAUUAUAAAUGUAAAAGUUAGUUUAUUUUAUUUUAUUUUACUUACUAUAUAUUGAUCUAAACUUCAAAUUCGUAUGGGUUGGGAUGGGGAGGUUCGGGGUCCAAUCCCCGGAGGGUGUAAUUUAUCUUUCUGAUGUGCCCAAAAAAACUUUAAAUUCAAAAACUGAAAAAUGACACAUGCGUUUUAUCCUGUGUUUUUUAUUUGUACUAAUAUCAAAUCUCUAUCGUCAAAUAACAUAUCUAAUGAAUAAAUAGUAUUAUUUAUGUUUCG